rnacentral:rRNA from 1 species
UGCGUAGGCGGUCUUGCAAGUUGGGUGUGAAAUCCCUCGGCUCAACCGAGGAACUGCGCCCAAAACUGCAGGGCUUGAGGGAGACAGAGGUGAGCGGAACUUGCGGUGGAGCGGUGAAAUGCGUUGAUAUCGCAAGGAACACCCGUGGCGAAAGCGGCUCACUGGGUCUUUUCUGACGCUGAGGCACGAAAGCUAGGGGAGCGAACG